rnacentral:misc_RNA from 1 species
GAUGAAGAACGUAGCGAAAUGCGAUAAGUAAUGUGAAUUGCAGAAUUCAGUGAAUCAUCGAAUUUUUGAACGCACAUUGCGCCCGCCAGUAUUCUGGCGGGCAUGCCUGUUCGAGCGUCAUUACAACCCUCAGGCCCCCGGGCCUGGCGUUGGGGAUCGGCGGAGCCCCCCGUGGGCACACGCCGUCCCCCAAAUGCAGUGGCGGUCCCGCCGCAGCUUCCAUCGCGUAGUAGCUAACACCUCGCGACUGGAGAGCGGCGCGGCCACGCCGUAAAACACCCAACUCUUCUGAAGUUGACCUCGAAUCAGGUAGGAAUACCCGCUGAACUUAAGCAUAUCAAUAAGCGGAGGA